AGAUAACAAUUAGGCACAAGUUUGCAAGUUAGCAAGAUCCGAUGACUAAAUGCACUCUCAUCUUUCAUAUAUCGGACAACUGAUUAGAUUAAUCCUGAUUUGAAGGUCCUUUAUGACAUUAAGUGAUUCCAACUUCUUUCUAUUACAGUUGCUGAUGAUCGAUCCGUAAUCCUUCCGGAGUCAAUUUCAUGCUUUAGUUCUCUCCUGUACGACUGCGUUUUCAACACCAAAAACUCUCUCUCUCACAACCAUGGUUUUGCUACGAUUAGAUCCGUUUCUCAAUAAACUCACCAGCAUGUUCGAGCGUAGCACUGACAAGGCUUCUGUUUGGGUUACUCUCAAACGAUCAUCCUUGAAAUCUAAAGUUUGGAAGAAUAAAUUGGUUACUGCUGGUGAGACAAUUGAGUAUGAAUAAAUUGGUUACUGCUGGUGAGACAAUUGAGUAUAGACGUCUUAUACGUGCCACUGAUGGGAAAAAUACGAUUUCUACUUCGGUGUGUAUCUGAUUUAGAUUUUAAAUUCUUAGGCACGUUUUGAUUGACCUCUAGCUUAUAGGAGUUUCUCAAUCGUUUGAAGUUUCACAUUGCUUAGGUUCCUCGGUUUAAGAUCCGUUGAGUCAUUUGUUCAUUAGAGAAUAUACCAGUGUUAGAUGUUACCUUUUCUGAUAUAAUAGAUCUUGAGCGUGCUUUCCGAACUCCAAAAACAUGUUAAGUAGGUUACUGGUUGUGGUUUCAAGAUAUGCUUGUUACUUACUCAAACUGGAAAAUUCAGUUCUUAUUGGAUCAUUAUUACUCAAACUCAUUUUUCUGUUUGUUGAAUAAUGGUCAUAGAUGCUAUAUAUGUAUAUAGUGUGCAUGGUUUAUGCAAAGUUAACCUUGGCUCUGCUUUUGUUAAUGCCA